rnacentral:sRNA from 1 species
GAAGCUUGCUUCUUUGCUGACGAGUGGCGGACGGGUGAGUAAUGUCUGGGAAACUGCUUGAUGGAGGGGGAUAACUACUGGAAACGGUAGCUAAUACCGCAUAACGUCGCAAGACCAAAGAGGGGGACCUUCGGGCCUCUUGCCAUCGGAUGUGCCCAGAUGGGAUUAGCUAGUAGGUGGGGUAACGGCUCACCUAGGCGACGAUCCCUAGCUGGUCUGAGAGGAUGACCAGCCACACUGGAAAUGAGACACGGUCCAGACUCCUACGGGAGGCAGCAGUGGGAAGACUACGGGAGGCAGCAGUGUGAUCUUGUGGAUAACUCGAGCCAUCCCGGAAAUGCGCGG